AUGAGCACACACGGGAUUGAGAGUAUGGAGGCGAAGAGGAGGAGGGGGGAGAAGUCCGCCACCAGCGAAGGCGCCGUCCCUCUAGAGGUGCUAGACUGUGCCUUCUGCUUCGAUCCCCUCAGGCCUCCUGUCUUUCAGUGUAGGGUCGGGCAUGUGAUAUGUUCCUCUUGCCAUCACAAGCUCCGGAAGAAGGACAAUUGCCAUGUGUGCGCCAUUACCGGAGGCUACAACCGCUGCAUCGCCUUUGACCACAUCCUCGAGUCUACUAAGGUCUCUUGCUCCAACUCCAUCUAUGGGUGCACCGUCAAGACACACUACUACCACCAAGAGGAACACAAGAAAUCAUGUCCGCAUGCGCCGUGCUUCUGCCCUGAGCCCGGUUGCGGCUUCGCAGGCUCAACCACCCAACUCCAGCGCCAUCUCACUGCCGAUCACAUGUUGCCCGCCACUGCGUUCGCGUAUGGAUAUUCUUUCACCCUUCAUAUGCAGGAAGGAAUGCGUGUACUCCACAGGAAAGAAGAAGGUGGACCCCUUUUCCUAGCAAAGUUCACGUUGGUGCCGCCUUUCGGCAAUGCUGUCUCCAUCUUGUGCAUUGAUCCUCAUGCUGUGACGGAGAAUCAUAGGUUCGAGUGUGAUGUUGAUUUCUACAGCCGCACCAUGGGAUGGCACCAACAUUCAAAUUUCCAGAUCAUAAGCACGAAUCUCUCCAACGGGUUCCCAGGGGAGGAGGCCAGCUAUACAUUUGUUGUACCAGAUAUUUCUUCCGACCCGCACACCACCACCACCCGCCUCCUCAUUCGCCCCCCAAAGAUAUCAUGUCCCUAA
rnacentral:rRNA from 1 species